rnacentral:SRP_RNA from 13 species
ACUGGAAGGUUGGCAGCUUCUGUAAUCACGCUUCUGUGAGGUCUGAUUGUGGGAUGGCCUGAGGCUGGGAAUCACUGUGUAGCGGACCAGCUCAUGUUGACGGAACGUCCGCACUAAGCUUGACAUCAAUAUGGGUGCCAUGGAGGAGUCCACGGCAUUCAGGUUGGCCAAGGAGGGACGAACCGGGCCAGGGGUGAAAACCAGCAGCCAAGAGUUCCCGUGUUAGGCAGUAGUGGGAUAGCGUACCGGAGUGAACUGCCGUUAUCAGCCCAACCAAUUAUGGUUGGACCACAAUCUUUU